GCCAGUGUGGCGUAGUGGUUUGGUUGUUGGACUACUACUCUGGAGACCAGGGUUUGAUUCCCAGGUCAGCCA
rnacentral:tRNA from 1 species